rnacentral:rRNA from 1 species
UUGAACGCUGGCGGAAUGCUUUACACAUGCAAGUCGAGCGGCAGCGCGGGGCAACCUGGCGGCGAGCGGCGAACGGGUGAGUAAUGCAUCGGAACAUGUCCAUGUCGUGGGGGAUAGCCCGGCGAAAGCCGGAUUAAUACCGCAUACGCUCGAGAGAGGAAAGCCGGGGACCGCAAGGCCUGGCGCGAUUGGGUUGGCCGAUGUCCGAUUAGCUUGUUGGUGAGGUAAAGGCUUACCAAGGCGAUGAUCGGUAGCUGGUCUGAGAGGAUGAUCAGCCACACUGGGACUGAGACACGGCCCAGACUCCUACGGGAGGCAGCAGUGGGGAAUUUUGGACAAUGGGGGCAACCCUGAUCCAGCCAUUCCGCGUGAGUGAAGAAGGCCUUCGGGUUGUAAAGCUCUUUUGUCCGGAGCGAAACGGGUAGCCCCAAUACGGCUGCCUACUGACGGUACCGGAAGAAUAAGCACCGGCUAACUACGU